GGCCGGAAACUUUUAGGCCCAUUCAGUAUCCAACGACUUUCGAAACCAAGGUACCCUACGGCCCUAUCCCCUUAACAUUUGGAUUAUCCACCAUCUCCGUUUCUUUCUUCAUGUUCUGUUUUUUUUGUUCCCCCUCGUUUUGUACUUCUGUUUGUUGAAUUUAGAGUUUUGAUUGCUUAGUUUAUGAAAUUGAGCAAAAGGAUCAUUCAGUAAUCUCGAGAAUUUGUAAAACUAGAUUGGAUUUAAUAUGGAUUUGAGUGUGUGUUCAGUGUUGUGUGAAUACCCUCUAAUUGAUUAGUUUCUUGAUGGAGUAAUUGAUUGUGUGUCUUGAUAAUGUUUUGGAUGUCUGUGUCAUUGUUAUGAACAGUUCUUAGAACUGCACGGAAUAUUGGGAAAUAUGUAACUGAAGCUGGAACCAAUCUCGUACCUAUGAGCUCACUUAGUCUUGUCUUCACCUAUUAAACUCUACUGUUAUACUAUUUUUUGGUUGAAGGUCGCCGUGCCUAGACAAGUUGCUAGAAUCUCGGUGAAGAUUGCAGCAAUAGAGGUUUCGUCGUUUGUUGUAAAGUCGUUUCCAACCAAUGGAUGAUCCACUUGAAGAAGCGAAGAAAAUCAUAGAUAAGUAUAAGUAAUCCGUGUUUGUGGUUUGUGUCUGUUUUUGUGUUUUGUUCUGUUAUGUGAUCAUUGUUCAAUGGUCGUGUCUUGUUAUGUUAUGUUCUUUGAUCAAUGCUUGAAUCAGUUCAUCUCUUGAUUGAUCAAUGUUUAAAUUGGUUCAUCUGUUCUUCGAUCACUGCAGAUAUUCAUGUGGUUUCAAAUAGAAGAUAAGUAUAGUUCUUCUUUCAUUUUCAGCCUGCAGAGGAAUGCAAGUGUUUGGGCUACAUAAAUGGCCACGGAGCAGAUGAAGGUCAUAUGUGUGUGAAGAUUCACUUGAGUCUAAUUAGUAUGAUGCUUCAUUGUAAUCACCCCUGCCCACACCCACGCCCAAUCAAAUUCAACCAUGGUUUGUGUUUCAGUGUAAUGGUUCAUCACUUCAUUGUAAUCGCAGCCUUCUUGUGUAGUGUCAUAUUGUAUCCAAAUCUCUGUUUGGUAAUCUAGUAUACAUUAUCAUAUUGUAUCCUAUACAACAUUAAACAGCCCAAAUUUUGUUCCAAACCCCAUCAUUGGAGAG
rnacentral:lncRNA from 1 species